rnacentral:rRNA from 1 species
CAGUCGCCACGGUAAUACGUAGGUGGCAAGCGUUGUCCGGAAUUAUUGGGCGUAAAGGGCUCGCAGGCGGUUUCUUAAGUCUGAUGUGAAAGCCCCCGGCUCAACCGGGGAGGGUCAUUGGAAACUGGGAAACUUGAGUGCAAAAGAGGAGAGUGGAAUUCCACGUGUAGCGGUGAAAUGCGUAGAGAUGUGGAGGAACACCAGUGGCGAAGGCGACUCUCUGGUCUGUAACUGACGCUGAGGAGCGAAAGCGUGGGGAGCGAACAGGAUUAGAUACCCCCGUAGUCCCUGUCUCUUAUAC